ACACAUUCCAGCAAUCAGCAGCAGACCCUCCCUCCCAGACCCUCCCACCUCCUGGACAGCCUCCAUUUUGAAGCUGCACUCUUAGUGAGCUGUCCAGGAGGUGGGAGAGUCUGGGAGGGAGGGUCUGCUGCUGAUUGGCAGGAAUGU
rnacentral:miRNA from 1 species